AUGGUUAGAAGAAACAUCUCCAUAUAUGGUGUGCACCCAGGCAUGCGUAUAGAACAAGGCCAUCCAGUAGACAUAACAGACCUCACUUUGCAUCCACUUAGCUUGGUACCUUAUACAACUAAUGUUUCAAUCAAGGAGGAAUCACCAAGUGUGGCAUUAUGGGAACUUCUAGCAGAUGCUAGUCUCACUCCAGAAAAAGAUUUCACUCUAAUUGCAUGGGAAUCAAGGAUACCCCUCAUAAUUCAUUUGUCCAUUUUGUUACAAGUAGUGCUCAGGAUGCACGUGAAGUUAGUGCCAUGCCAGGGAGGAAGCGACGAGGAGUGCCAAUCUUGUUUUAUUUGA
rnacentral:rRNA from 1 species